GACGAACGCUGGCGGCGUGCUUAACACAUGCAAGUCGAACGGAAAGGCCCUGCUUUUGUGGGGUGCUCGAGUGGCGAACGGGUGAGUAACACGUGAGUAACCUGCCCUUGACUUUGGGAUAACUUCAGGCAACUGGGGCUAAUACCGGCUAGGAGCUCCUGCUGCAUGGUGGGGGCUGGAAAGUUUCGGCGGUUGGGGAUGGACUGGCGGCGUAUCAGCUUGUUGGUGGGGUAGUGGCUUACCAAGGCUUUGACGGGUAGCCGGGCUGAGAGGGUGACAGGCCACAUUGGGACUGAGAUACGGCACAGACUCCUACGGGAGGCAGCAGUGGGGAAUAUUGCACAAUGGGCGGAAGCCUGAUGCAGCAACGCCGCGUGCGGGAUGACGGCCUUCGGGUUGUAAACCGCUUUCGCCUGUGACGAGGCGUGAGUGACGGUAAUGGGUAAAGAAGCACCGGCUAACUACGUG
rnacentral:rRNA from 1 species